GACGAACGCUGGCGGCGUGCCUAAUACAUGCAAGUAGAACGCUGAAGGAGGAGCUUGCUCUUCUGGAUGAGUUGCGAACGGGUGAGUAACGCGUAGGUAACCUGCCUGGUAGCGGGGGAUAACUAUUGGAAACGAUAGCUAAUACCGCAUAAGAGUAGAUGUUGCAUGACAUUUACUUAAAAGGUGCAAUUGCAUCACUACCAGAUGGACCUGCGUUGUAUUAGCUAGUUGGUGGGGUAACGGCUUACCAAGGCGACGAUACAUAGCCGACCUGAGAGGGUGAUCGGCCACGCUGGGACUGAGACACGGCCCAGACUCCUACGGGAGGCAGCAGUAGGGAAUCUUCGGCAAUGGACGGAAGUCUGACCGAGCAACGCCGCGUGAGUGAAGAAGGUUUUCGGAUCGUAAAGCUCUGUUGUAAGAGAAGAACGAGUGUGAGAGUGGAAAGUUCACACUGUGACGGUAUCUUACCAGAAAGGGACGGCUAACUACGUG
rnacentral:rRNA from 1 species